UUUUUUUUUUUUUUUUUUUUUAGACAGAGUCUCGCACUUUCGCCCGGGCUGGAGUGCAGUGGCGUGAUCUCAGUUCACUGCAAUCUCUGUCUCCUGGGUUCAAGCGAUUCUCCUGCCUCAGCCUCCUGAGUAACUGGGACUACAGGUGUGCAUCACCAUGCCGGCCAGUUUUUUUAUUUUUAGCAGAGACGGGGUUUCACCAUGUUGUCUAGGCUGGUCUUGAACUCCUGACCACAAGUGAUCCACCUGCCUCAGCCUCCCAAAGUGCUGGGAUUACAGAUGUGAGCCACCACGCCUGUCUGCUCUGGGAUUGAUUCUCAGACUUUCUGUCCCAUUUCAGGGCAGUUUAGUAAUGGAAGGGAGAAGUUCUGAGAGAUGCAUAAUAAAAAUGACCCAAGCCUGGCUGCAAGUCAGCCUGCCUGGCUGGCGCUCAACUCAGUGUUGUCCCAGGCUGCUUUUCCCCCUCCCUGCCUCCCUCCCCUCUAAAUCUUGGCACCCACACUUCCAUUUUAGUUCUUUUCCUCAUCUUCUGUUUUAUGUUUUUGGUCACAGAGGAUGCAGAUUUAAAUCAAAAGUCAGGAGUUUAGAUCAUGUUGAAGAGCUGCUGAUGAGUGGUCUUGCCUUGCCAUUUGUUUUAUUAGACUGCAUCCUGCCCUUUCCUGCAUGGUCUAAAAGCUCCGUGCAGCUGGGAAGAGUGAUGGGGCUGCCAGGGUGCUGCCCAGAGGCCCAGGGCUUCCUGAUGACAUUGCAUUAUGGAAAAGCUGUAAUAACAUUCCGCUGUUUAGCCUCCUCUUUAAUCACACAGGGGACACUGGAGGGAUGGGAUGGGGGUGGGGGGUGGAUAUCUCCUGGGUUGCCCUGAGUCCCUGCUCCACAGAGAUGGAAAGGAUCCAUGUUUGCUCUUCCACAUCUCCUAUCUGGAGGACCAAGUUAGAGUUCCCAUGGGACAGAAGAGGAAACUGAGGUAGGGGAGAUGCUUGGGAAAUCUUCCAGCACUUGGAGCACACUAACCGUAUGAGGACAUGGGCAGAGGAAGGGUCUAGAUCAGAACCUGCAGCCCUGGCACUGCCAGGCCCCUGUCAUCCCCUUACGUUCUCCACUUGCUCUGUAUGUCUCUGUUGCUCUCUCCUUAGGUCAGGUAUCAACUUGACUUGAGGUUUAUGGAGAAAGAGGUUCUCAUCAAACCUAUUUCCUCUUUUUAGCCACACAGUUAAUUGUACGACACAUCAGACCCCCUGGCAUCUGGGUAGGGCCACAUGGCUAGUUCUUGCCCAUGGGAUGGGAAUGUGCCUUCUCCCUGCUGUCUGACUUUUACCCAUCAAAGCAGCCUUGUAGACUGUGUUUGAAGAGGGUGGUGUCACAUGAUGGGAAGAGCCUGGGUUCCUGAAUGACUGUGUGGAGCAGGGGGUUCUCCGCUGACCAUAUUGGAUUGUAAUGUUUUGCUACUGAUACUUGGGAAUUGUGUGUUAUAGCAGUUAGCCUAACUCCAACUAAUACCUGUGUAUUACUAAUUCAGUUAUUCGAUUAGUAAUUACUAAUACCUGUGUACCUCGAUUCAAAAAAGAAGAGGGCUCUUCCCUUACCCAGUUGGGUAAGGGAAGCCAGCCAACAGGCUCUUACAGUCUUCCAGACAAGAGGGAGCCAUAGAGGUAGAAGUUUCGGAGGUCUUUUUUAGUUUUCAUGUUCUGGGGUUUCUCCAUUUCCAUCUUAAUCUCUCAGUGCCCAAGUAUAUCAACCCCUGUGGCCACCCCAAACCGUUACUUGCCAUUCCCUGGCAGAAUGCUCGAUUCUCCUUUCUCAUGCUUGUUGAUCCUUUUCCUGGAACACCUGCCCCUCUUCAUCACCUUUCAGACUUGACUCCCUUUCAAGUUGCAGCUCAAACACCACCUCCGCAAUCACCCCAUGAGGCAGUGAGCCCUCGCUGCCGCUCCUCUCCGGGUAGCACUGCAUAGCCGAGCAGAUGGUCCUCAUCCCCUCUUGAAGCACCCGUGAUAUUUUCAUAAGGAGGUCUGACUUCUCUGUUAAAUUAUGAGAUUCUUAGCAAUAACGACAUGAUCCUCACACUUCCUUGUUUCCUAUGUAGGCCUUAACACUGUGUUGUUUGUACUGGGCACUCAAGAAGGAAGAGAGGG
rnacentral:lncRNA from 1 species